rnacentral:rRNA from 1 species
CGCGUCUGCUGUGAAAGCCCGGGGCUCAACCCCGGGUCUGCAGUGGGUACGGGCAGGCUGGAGUGCAGUAGGGGAGACUGGAAUUCCUGGUGUAGCGGUGAAAUGCGCAGAUAUCAGGAGGAACACCGAUGGCGAAGGCAGGUCUCUGGGCUGUAACUGACGCUGAGGAGCGAAAGCAUGGGGAGCGAACAGGAUUAGAUACCCUGGUAGUCCAUGCCGUAAACGUUGGGCACUAGGUGUGGGGGCCAUUCCACGGUUUCCGCGCCGCAGCUAACGCAUUAAGUGCCCCGCCUGGGGAGUACGGCCGCAAGGCUAAAACUCAAAGGAAUUGACGGGGGCCCGCACAAGCGGCGGAGCAUGCGGAUUAAUUCGAUGCAACGCGAAGAACCUUACCAAGGCUUGACAUGUGCCGGACCGUCCCAGAGAUGGGGCUUCCCUUCGGGGCCGGUUCACAGGUGGUGCAUGGUUGUCGUCAGCUCGUGUCGUGAGAUGUUGGGUUAAGUCCCGCAACGAGCGCAACCCUCGUUCCAUGUUGCCAGCACUUCGGGUGGGGACUCAUGGGAGACUGCCGGGGUCAACUCGGAGGAAGGUGGGGACGACGUCAAAUCAUCAUGCCCCUUAUGUCUUGGGCUUCACGCAUGCUACAAUGG